rnacentral:pre_miRNA from 1 species
UGAUGAUGAUGAUGAUGAUGAUGAUGAUGAUGAUGAUGAUGAUGAUGAUACUACUACCACUAGUAUCAUUAUACUGCCAUUCAUUAACAUUAUCCUCGUCAUCAUCAUCAUCCUUCCAU